GACGAACGCUGGCGGCGUGCCUAAUACAUGCCAGUCGAACGCACAGUCUAUACCGUUGCUUGCUACACCAUAGACUGUGAGUUGCGAACGGGUGAGUAACGCGUAGGUUACCUGCCUGGUAGCGUGGGAUAACUAUGGCAAACGAUAGCUAAUAUCGCAUCAUAUUAAUUAUUGCAUGGUAAUUAAUUGAAAGGUGCAAUUGCAUCACUACCUGAUGGAUCUGCGUUGUAUUAGCUAGUAGGUGAGGUAACGGCUCACCUAGGCGAUGAUACAUAGCCGACCGGCAUGGGUGAGUGGCCACACUGGGACUGAGACACGGCCCAUAGUCCUACGGGAAGCAGCAGUAGUGGAACGUCAGCCAUGGGCGGAAAUCUGACCGAGAUACGCCGCGUGAGGGAAGAAGGUUUUCGGAUCGUGAAGGUCUGUUGUCGGGGAAGAACCAGUGUGAGAGUGUAAAGUUCACACUGUGACGGUAACUUACCAGAAAGCAACGGCUAACUACGUG
rnacentral:rRNA from 1 species